rnacentral:rRNA from 1 species
AUUGAACGCUGGCGGCAUGCCUUACACAUGCAAGUCGAACGGCAGCACGGACUUCGGUCUGGUGGCGAGUGGCGAACGGGUGAGUAAUAUAUCGGAACAUACCUUGUAGUGGGGGAUAACUAUCCGAAAGGAUAGCUAAUACCGCAUACGCUCUAAGGAGGAAAGUGGGGGAUCGCAAGACCUCAUGCUAUAAGAGUGGCCGAUAUCUGAUUAGCUAGUUGGUGAGGUAAAGGCUCACCAAGGCGACGAUCAGUAGCUGGUCUGAGAGGACGACCAGCCACACUGGAACUGAGACACGGUCCAGACUCCUACAGGAGGCAGCAGUGGGGAAUUUUGGACAAUGGGGGCAACCCUGAUCCAGCAAUGCCGCGUGAGUGAAGAAGGCCUUCGGGUUGUAAAGCUCUUUUGUCAGGGAAGAAACGGUUGUGGCUAAUAUCCAUGGCUAAUGACGGUACCUGAAGAAUAAGCACCGGCUAACUACGUGCCAGCAGCCGCCGUAA